rfam:Aedes albopictus isolate Foshan contig112725, whole genome shotgun sequence.
UGCCCAGAAACUCCUAUCCCUACCUCCGCGUUGUACUGGUCGGAAACUACGGUCAACGUCCGAGUGCCAGGGAAGG